CCCACCUGGGGAGUACGCCGGCAACGGUGAAACUCAAAGGAAUUGACGGGGGCCCGCACAAGCGGAGGAACAUGUGGUUUAAUUCGAUGAUACGCGAGGAACCUUACCCGGGCUUGAAUUGCAGAGGAAGAAUUUAGAGAUAAUGACGCCCUUCGGGGUCUCUGUGAAGGUGCUGCAUGGUUGUCGUCAGCUCGUGCCGUGAGGUGUCGGCUUAAGUGCCAUAACGAGCGCAACCCCUCUCUUCAGUUGCCAUCAGGUGAUGCUGGGCACUCUGGAGACACUGCCACCGUAAGGUGUGAGGAAGGUGGGGAUGACGUCAAAUCAGCACGGCCCUUACGUCCGGGGCUACACACGUGUUACAAUGGCCGGUACAGAGGGAGGGUGUAAUGUAAAUUGCAUCAAAUCUUGAAAGCCGGUCCCAGUUCGGACUGGGGUCUGCAACCCGACCCCACGAAGCUGGAUUCGCUAGUAAUCGCGCAUCAGCCAUGGCGCGGUGAAUACGUUCCCGGGCCUUGUACACACCGCCCGUCAAGCCAUGAAAGCCGGGGGUGCCUGAAGUCCGUGACCGCAAGGAUCGGCCUAGGCAAAAAAACCUUGG
rnacentral:rRNA from 1 species